AAUUUUAGGGCUAUUGUUAUAUGAUUUUUUAUCAAAUUAUUCUCCAUCAAUCCAUAAAAAGAAUCUGGAAUCUGUCUUCUUCAAAUUGUUAAAGGUGUGAACUUUUCUCGAAUCUGUCUUCUUAAAUUUGUUAGAGAUACGAAUUUCUAAUUUUCAUUGUCUACUCUGGUCUGGUUUUAGUUGGGACCUUGCUAUCACCGUGGAGUAACAAGUGAUUCUCUUGUUUCUCUAAUGGUUAUGUUCUUUCUUGUAUGUGAAUGGGGAUUUCUUCUGUUCAUAAAACAUUAUUUUUCUUAAAGAGUAUAUUAAAUAAGAAAUUCAUUAUUUGAAAAAUACAUUUCAAGUGCCUAUUUUUCCAAGGUCACAAGUUUGUUCAAUUUGGGGUUGCCAAUUGACAGAUUGUUUGAUAUCCAUACCAAAUAGUCCAGUAACAUUGUAGAAUGUUGUAGACUACAACGAAUUUAUUAAUACUGUAGGCUUGAAGAAUUUAUGGUCCCUCAAUUCAAUUCAUCUGAGUUGUUCAAACUCGCCAUUGACGCAAAAUCAGACUUGAAAAUGACUGGCACUGUGUGGCACCCUGCACUGUUUAAAUUCCUUCCUACUCUCGAUUUCACAUUUAAGUUAUUUUCCUAGCCUUCGAAUUACCGGCCAAAAUGGAUGCAAAAAUUCUGUGAAGAACUUUUUUUGCAUCACAAACUUCAACAUUAUGAUGUUCCUAACAAUCUGACAAGAAGAACCGUUUUGAUUGACACCCAAAUAUACAGCUCCACAUUAGCAACAAUUGGAUUGUUAGCAAACAUCAUGGUAUAGCUACUCAAUGAAUAUCACAUGGAUCAAGUAUUUGCUACCAAUGUUAUCAAUAUUUGGUCUGGUACGACCAAUUUUGGACCCUUAAUUGGUGCUUACAUCUCUGAUGGUCAUAUCGGCAAUAAUAAUAUAGUCACUUUGUUUGUAGAAGGGAUUUAUGAAUGGAGACUGGUGUGUUAUCUAGGGAUCGAUACACAGCUGCUGUUCUUGUCUCAAUCAGUGGUGGAAUUCUGGAAAUUUUUUGGAGAUUAACACCUAAUUAUAGAAUAUAACUAAUGGUAUAACAUAUUAUAACACUCUUAGUUCAUACCAUUACUAAUGGUGUUUCUUACCGAUCGAUUCAUCCCUCUGAUAGUUUUCUUGGAAAGAAAUAUGAGAUACUUGAUGGUCUUAUGGAUAGGUAAGAGGGGUAUUUAGGAUUUAGUCACUUUAAGUAUAUACUAUUUAGGGAAUAAUCACUUAAGUUCGAUUAAUUAGGUUUUGAUCACUUGGUAAUGAUUGAAUAGAGUUGUGAUGAUUGAUGGAGAAUAUAACUGAAGAGAAGAAAGAUCCCAUUCUAACCAAGAUUUUAUAUGGUCUCGCGUAGUGAAUAGUUUGUAAAACCUUGUGGGUGUUCGUCUUCUUGCUUACCUAAUGGUGGAGUUUUAUUAUUUAGAUUUUUUUUUAAAACACAACUUGGAAUUUGCUAAAUGUUGAGGAUUUUACACACAGCAGUAAUUUGGUUUUGUAAAUCUGUUUAACCAUUUGUUUUUAUAAACUUACUAUGUCAGUCUUAUAAGGAGUGAUGUAUGUUUACAUCGAGUUAGGAAUGUAUCUCGAGAUUAACCAGAUUUUCUCCAAGCAAUGUAAUUACCAGAUUUUACAACCAAGUACUGGACUGAUUGAUUCGAUUCAUUAUCAUUCUCCCGUAAUGGAAUCUACUUGUAAAAUUCUUUACAUCUUAUAGUACAUAUUCUGUUUUGCUAUGUUAGAGAAAUUAAGAUUCUAGAAUCUCUUUUGAAGUCUGGCGCAGCGAUAGUGUUGAAUUGUAGAUCAACGUCUAACAAUUCGAAAACAAUCCUUGAAUCCACAAGGUUAAAUCUUGAAACAUAGACACAAACUUCAGGAAAUUUAUUGAUAAUAAUCUGGUUUACAUACAAUGAAAGUGCCUUUAUAUAAUAGACACUCUAAAUUACAAGAAUAACUGCCAGGUAGGACAUUUGGCAGCCUCUUAUAGGCUGCAUUUAUUAUUUAAAUACUUAAUAAGUAGUUAUAAUAACCACCAAUAACUGAAAUCUGUCAGAAAAUCUGACAGUAUUCUUUCUAAUGCUUUGGUGUUUUCUUCCUAUCUUCUCUUUCCAUGUAUGUCAUGGCUAAUUGUUCUACAUCAAAGUCUUAAUAAUUUUCAUUAUUUGGAGUUAGUUUGAUUUAAAAAAAAAAUAGAUAUUUAAUUUGUGCAAUGUACUUUCAGUUAAAAUUGAAGUUUGGAAUUCAAGAAUAGAAAUUUGAAGGAAAUAGUAUGAAUUGAAUUUCUGCAAAAUCACUUUUAGCAUGGGAAGUAACAUGUUACAACGGCAUCAAGAAGGAACUACCUUGAGUGCAUGACAAAAAUCGCUGGAUUGCUUUCUUCCUGGUGGUUAUGAUGAUAUGAUAAAUAUGUUGAUCAAGCCAUAACAUUUCAUGUUUAUAUAUUUUCUUUUCUUAUAUAAUGCUAGGAUGCUAGAGAUGUAAUUGUGGAUUUUGAUCUGGAUUUAUGUUUAACACUUUGUCCAUGACAUUUUUCAGGUUUGGUUUGAUGCAGAUGAAGAGGUUGAAGGGAUAUUUUGAAGUUGUGUGAAUGUGGAGCACUUAUACACGAUGUUAUCAACUUGAGUAAAGCAUGGACAAGCCUUUUGCAUCCUUUACAAGGGAGAAACGAUAAUGUGAGUUUGCGGUGUCAGUUAAUAGGAAAGCGACUCAAUUUUUGCAAGACCUGGUCCAAAAGUAUAAUAUUGUCAUGGUGAGUCCAAUUCUUGAAAGGGAUGUAGAGAAUAGAGAGCCUAUCUGGAAUACUACUUUAAUCUUAUAUCAUGGUAAUAUUAUUUGUAAACACAAGAAAGCAAAUGCGUGCUACCACUUUUAUUCACAUUUGGAUUACCAAAUCUUUUAAUUAGUAUUGUUGAUAAUUUUUACUAUGCAAUAUUUAUUAGAUUAAAGUCAGUUUACGAGGAAGGAGACCAUGAAGGGAUGAGUGAACAGGUCAGAAUAUUGCAGAAUAAGGUAGAAAUUAUGGUGUUUCAUUAAAUUUAUCCAAACAUAUGGUUUACCAGUGCCUAACAUCUUUUGUUUGAAAAUGACAGCAGCUGUUGGGAGUGAUGGAUUGAAAAUGUAUACAUAAAUCAGAUCCUGGAAAGUUUCAGGUUCGUAAAAAUACUUCUUAACGAUUUAAUACAAAAGGUAUGUAAAUAUCAGUAACAGAGGAAGUACAUCCCAGAAUUUUUUUCUCAUUAUACUUGAGAAAUGGAGUGCUUUUCUUACCAAUUUAAGUUAGAUUUAGGUUUCAUUUAAAAUUAGUCUGCCUUUUUGUUUCAAAUCUUUUGUUAAUUAUAAGUUUGCAAAAUAAAGCAACAUAAAUUAGUCGUUAACAUAAGUUAUGCAUAAUAAAGGCAACAUAAUUUACACCCAGUCACACCUUUACUGCUGUUAUUUUCCAUCUUGAAAGUGUUUUGAUUGAUAGCUUUGAAACUGAUUAUUAUCUUUGCUUCAGUUCGUAGAGAGAUUUCUUUUGCAUUGAUUUUUCAAUUCUUUUCGUUAAUUCUAUUGCACUAUUCAAUGAUGCAGAAAACAUGUGCAACUUAAACGUCUUCUGAACUCCCCAAGGAAAAGAGACUGUGUCACACCUCAUCACCAAAUAAAAAGACCUUGAUCUCUCUGUUAGGUAACACCCUCCCCAUUUUAUUGUUAUUUCCCUCUUAUCCCCACCGAAUAUUCUACCAUGAAGUGGUUGUUUUCUUUCUGUGUGUGUGUUUGUGGACCAAAAACCAGAUUUAUAACUACUAAGUCAUGUUGACCAAGAACCAGAAUUAGCACAUGAAAUGCAUUUAUUCCUCAACUUGACAAGAGGCUUAUUAUAUGGAGAGAAUUAAUUUACUGGGGUGGUUUAUUAAAUUUAAAUAUUUUUAAACAAGAUAAGGAGAUCAAAAAGCGAAUGGGGUUAUAGCUAGAGGGUGUUAAUGGACUUCGGAUGCAGUUUUUCUAUAUUGUCUACUUGAGUAUUGCUCAUACUUGCCAACAUUUUGAUUUCAUGAAACUUUUGUUGUGCUUUUUUAGGAUAAUAAUAAUAUUGAUUUGAUUUCGGAUCUAUUGUCAUUGACGUCAUCUCUAAGCUCUUUAAUACAAAUUAGAGUAAUUUGUUAAUAAUAUAGUUAUUUUUUAUUUUUUUAUAAUAUAAUUAUUUUUUUGAUAAUAUAGUUAUAUACCAAUUUUUUAUCUUUUAAGAUUAGUAAUCAAAUAGACAUUACUGCAAUUUCAAUCCUUCAACUUCCAAUAUUACUUAAACCAUUUCUUGAUCCUUUUUCUAAUUUUGAUUUUAUUGAGCUUGGGUCAAGUCUCAACAAUUUUUUUAUAGAAAUUGGUUUUCUAUACUUGAAGUGUUUCCAAUAUCAAUGAAAACACUUAAGGAUUAAUUAUGAAAGAAAUAGUGUUUUGUAUGUUGAUAUAAGUGAUUCUUUUUGUUAUGAUUGGUUAAAGAAUAUGAAAGUGUUAGAUUUUAUAAACGAAAUAGAUAAUUUAUGAGUGUUGGUGUAAUUACGUUUCUCCAUCAAUUGUUGUUGAAGCACCAGUCUUAGCUACGACCAACCCUAUUUGAAGCUAAACUCUAUCGACUCAAUAGGACUAGAAGAAUGCAUUUAGAGCCAAUUAUAACCGGACUAUGCAGUUACCUAGGAUCAAAUUUUACGUAGUAACAAUUUUUGUAUUGAUGUUCCUCUAAAAAAUCUGAUGAUAAAAGUCCCAUGAGGAUAGAUACACUACGUCUUCUCCAACCUCUGCUUAUGAAUGACCUUGCAACAUAAACUCAAAAAAACCAGAGAACAAUUUCAUUCUAUUGACAUUGUAUACUGCUAUACAACAAUUACUCUUCUUGAUCAUAGGUGUAACAUUAUCUAGCCAAAGAGAGGAUAUGGUCGAUGGUAUAACUCUUUGAGUUUUGACAUUACUCUUCCAUUAGUAUAACUGAAUUUUUUUUCUUUUUCAGGUGCUCUUUUUCUGUUUUCUUCAUCUAACUGGUUGAACCUCAAUUCUACUGCAAGCAUUUCAGGUAAUGUACUGGCUCUCUCUUAAUUUUAUGUUUACUGUUGUUCAUUACUAUAGAUUAUCAAGGAAUACCCAUUCUGAAGUACCAUGUUUGGUAAUCAUCAUCACUGAUAAUAAUAAAGGGGUAGGUGGGAGUAAUGGGAAAUUACAUAAGAUAUAGAUUAUAUCUCCUGAGGUCUUCCCUUUAUUAGUCUGUUCUCACCUUUGACAAAAAAGAUAUAUGACUGUGAGAUAAAUUUUGAUGGGAAAAUUUAUUAACAUACAAACCAGCUCAAAUUUCUGUGUCCAAUAUCCAAACCACCCCCACUGGCUGUAAGGACAAAAUGUUAUCAGGAGAUGGAGGUUGAUAUCAUGGUUGCUAUCAUAUCCCAUAGUUGAGUCAUGUUCGUCACCACACUGCAGCCAUUACCAGUGAUUGUUAUGUUGUUAAGCCACUUUGUGUUUGAGUGAUCCAUUCUGAAAAUUUCAAUUUUGAACAAAAUCUACUCUAUGGAGUUUAAACCUUAAUAAUGAUUAAGCUUAGUGAGCACAUUUAUUAGAAGUGAAUAAACCGGUGAUAAAAAAAUCACAAAAAUAUGCAGCCUGCAGCAAAAAUUCAAAAGAAUUCUAAAGAAACAAACUGGUGUUGUUCCUAAUUUAUAGUUAUGCCAAUGUCAUAGUUUAGUUUCGUGGGUUAUCCUUGUUAUUCUAAAUACACAGGAUCUUGAUAUGAUUAAUGAAGAAACAAACACAAAAGAUGUAAACUAAAACAAAGAUACGGAAACACAAUAAUAUACGUGGUUCGGCAAUAUGCCUACAUCCACGGGACAAAGAGAGAUAGCUUUAUUGAUAAUUGAGAAGUGAACUACACAAUAACUAAUGAAACCUUAGUUUAGGUUUCCUCACACAUACUUUCUUCUUUGCUCCAAUUCUUAUGGUUACACAAAACCAAUAUUUAUAACCUCUUUGGUUAAUCCAAUUGGUAACCCAAUUCCUAAUUCAACAAUAACUAUCCAUUACAUGUAACCUCCACAUGUCAUUUUUCUACAAUUCUCCACCUCGGCGAAGAUUGUAAAAAAACUGAGUCGACCAUAAUGAACCCAUACGUACUUCUCCUGUACCACACAAGUAUCAUCUCAUCUUUGCCCCCACACGCCCAUAAGGGCCACUACCCUGAAAGGCCUCAACAUCUGGAGAGAUUUAUCAAGUUAAGGCAAUGCCUAAACUUGACCCCCGAAACCACCUUAGUCAACAUGUCAGCUGGAUUAUCAGCGGUGCCAAUCUUCUGAAGAAUCACUUUCUUCUCAUCGAUAACAUCUCGAAUGAAAUGAUACCUGACAUCAAUAUGCUUGGUGCGCGCAUGAUGAACCUGGUUCUUGGCAAGAUGAAUUGCACUCUGACUGUCACAAUUGACAACAAUAUUCUUCUGAAGAAUACCCAAGUCACCAACUAAACCAAGAAGCCAUAAAGCUUCCUUCAGGGCCUCUGUCACUGCUAUGUACUCUGCCUCUGUAGUUGACAAAGAUACAAUAGGUUGUAACAUCGACCUCCAACUAAUAGGUCCUCCACCUAAGGUAAAACAGUAACCUGUAGUAGAACGCCUCCUAUCAAGAUCACCAGCAUAAUCUGCAUCCACAUGACCUAAGACAUUUGUUUCCCUAUCUGGGAUUUUACCGAGAAAACCACCAACAUGUGAUGCACUAUCUCUCUCAUAAACCAAACCAAUAUCCAAGGAGCCUCGAAUAUACCUCAAAAUCCACUUUACCGCUUCCCAGUGAGUUUACUAGGAUUUGUCAUAUACCUGCUAACAACACUUACUGCAUGAGCAAUAUCAGGUCGUGUACAAAUCAUAGCAUACAUAAGACUUCCAACUGCACUAGCAUAAGGAAUCUGUGACAUAUUCUCCUUCUCUGCAUCAGUAGUAGGAGACAACAAACCGGAAAGCUUAAAGUGAUCUGCCAAUGGAGUACUAACUGACGUAGAAUUUUCCAUUCGAAAGCGACUCAAAACCUUUUCAAGAUAUUUCUUUUGAGUGAGACAAAGUCUUCCACGUCGUCUGUCUCUACUAAUCUCCAUACCAAGAAUUUUCUUCGCAGCUCCUAAAUUUUUCAUCUCAAACUCUUUACUCAAUUGUUUCUUCAAAGAAACAAUAUGCGACUUGCUCUUUGCAGCUAUAAGCAUGUCAUCUACAUAGAGUAAGAGAAAAAUAAGGGACCCAUCUUGAAGCUUUCUGAAAUAGACACAUGGAUCAUAUUCACUUCUAGAGUACCCUUGCUUCAACAUAAAUGUGUCAAACUUCUUAUAAAACUGUCGCGGUGCUUGCUUCAAUCCAUACAAGGACUUUGUCAGUUUGCACACAUAGUCUUCUUUACCAACAACUUUAUAACUGUCGGGCUGUAACAUAUAUAUUUCCUCCUCUAAAUCUCCAUGCAAGAAAGCAGUUUUGACAUCUAGUUGCUCGAGCUCUAAAUCAAACUGCGUCACCAAAGCUAACAAGACUCGGAUGGAAGUGUGUUUAACAACCGGAGAAAAAACUUCAUUAUAAUCCACACCUUCCGUUUGUGCAUAUCCCUUAGCCACUAAUCUUGCCUUGUAACGUACACCACUAGUUGUACCCUUGGAGUCUAGAAUACCAUCUUUCACUGUGAAAACCCACUUGCAACCAAUCGACUUCUGACCCUUAGGCAACUUUACAAGUUCCCAAGUAUUGUUCUUGUGAAGAGAUUUCAUCUCUUCAUCCAUCGCUGACUUCCAUUCAUGAGAAUGAGAACUCCUCAUUGCCCCCUUAAAGGUAAAAGGCUCAUCAUCACAAAAUACUGAUAAUGCAAAAGAUGCACUAUCCUCAAAACCAAGUCGAACUGGUGCUUUUCUCAAACGUGGUUCACGUUGAGAUGCUAAAGAUGGCCACUAAUGAUGCUGCUCUAAUUGUUGUUGCUGUAAAGUAUCUUCAAGAGGAACCUCCUCUUCAAUCUCAUCAUCUACACUCUCUGUGUCUAAAUAUGUGUCUGUAGUUACCUGUGUAACCUCUGAACUUGGAGGUACCUGUACAACAGUCACCUCUUUAUCUAUUGUAGAUGAAUAUGGAACAUUAUGCUCCACCUGCAUGGUAUCGUCACCAUUACUGUCAUUAUCAUCACCCUCAUGUUGAGAGUCCCAACCUGUGAACUUUUUUGAAUCAAGCAUUGUUUUCUCAUUAAAGGUCACAUCACGACUGAUCUGGAAUUUAUUCAACUCUGGGCACCAUAAACGAUAACCCUUAAUACCUUGUGGAUAUCCCAAGAAAAUAGCUUUCUUGGCCCUAACUCCUAACUUAUCUUCUCUGAUAUGAAAAUAAGCAGGACAACCAAACACCUUCAAAUCUGAAUAAUCAGGAGGUGUACCAGACCAAACUUCCAUAGGUGUCAUACAAUCAAUGGCUGUAGAUGGUGAUCGAUUCACGAGAUAGCACGCCGUAUUUACUGCUUCAGCCCACCAUACCUUACCCAAACCUGCAUUGGAUAACAUGCACCGUGCUUUCUCUAGUAGUGUGCGAUUCAUACGCUCAGCUACCCAUUCUGUUGUGGUGUACCUUUCACUGUGAAGUGUCUAACGAUACCUUGUUCUGCACAAUAAACUUUCAAUGGGUCUUCAGUGUAUUCUCCACCAUUGUCAGAACGUAUCAUUUUCACAACACGGCCAGUCUGUUUUUCAACCAUAACUUUCCACUUCUUAAACAAAUCGAUGACUUCGUUUUUGUGCUUCAUGGUGUACAACCAAACUCUCCGCGAGAAAUCAUCGAUAAAGGUUACAAACCACCUUGCUCCUCCCUUAGAAACUGUUCUAGAGGGACCCCAUACAUCUGAAUGUAUAUAAUCUAAAGUACCCGUAGUGCGGUGAACAGCGGUACCAAAACGAACUCUGCACUGUUUGCCAAAUACACAAUGCUCACAAAAAUCGAGCUUGCAAGUUUUCUGGCCACCAUGCAAACCCUUUUUACUCAAUAUAGACAAACCUUUUUCACUCAUAUGCCCUAGCCGCAUAUGCCAUAACUGAGUAGAAGUUAAUUGUUUCUCAUCAACCGCUUGAGAAAUCAUAGCCAUAGCUCCACCUGAAACUAUAUCUCCAAUAAGAAAAUAUAAGUUUCCAUGUCUUUCGCCCAUCAAAUAUAACCUGUCAUCAUAGUAAACCUUCAAGAGACCAUUCUCACCGGUAAACUUGAAGCCACUAUCUUCAAGUACACCUAAUGAAAUCAAACCCUUUCUCAAAUCAGGAACAUGCCUGACUUCUGACAAGGUUCUUACAGCUCCAUCAUGUGCCUUGAUCCGUACUGUACCAACACCAACUGUCUUGCAGGCAUUUGAAUUGCCCAUAAAGACUUUACCACCAUUUACUUCUCUGUAAGUUGUGAAAGACUCCCUUUCGGGACACAUAUGAUACGAAGCAGCUGAAUCAAGACACCAUCCUUCAGCUAAAUAGCUAUUUGAUGUAACUGUUAACACCUCAUCCUCAUUGUCUCCAAUAGACUUUGCUACCUCAUCACUACUUUGAGCAAUGUUAGCAACUUCAGUGUUCGGAUUAGAUUUCUUCUUCUUUUCUUCUUUAGCCUUAACCUUAGGACAAUCUUUACUAUAAUGACCCAUGUUAUGACAAUAAUAACACUCAACAUCCUUCAAAUCUCUUUUCCGAGAUUUAGAGCGACUUUUAGAACUCGACGAACCUCUAUGUGAUGAUCUACCUCUAACAUACAUACCCUCAGCCUGAACUUCAUCAUCAGCUUCCUUUUUUCUAAUGGCUUUGGAUUGUAACAUCGAAACAACAUCAUCAUAGACCAACUGAUUUGUGGUUUUUUUGUUUGCAAUAAAAUAAUCAACUGUUGUUUCCCACGAAGAUGGUAAUGAACAUAAUAAAAUUAUAGCUUUCUCACCAUCAGGUAGUAUCACAUCAAUGUUUGCUAAAUCAGAACAGAUCUUAUUAAAAUCAUUAAUAUGAUCAAUCACAGACUUACCAGGUGUAAAUCUUGUCGAAUACAAACGCCUCUUUAGAUAGAGUUUUGACGUCAAGUCCUUACUAAGAUAGAGCUUCUCUAACUUCUCCCAUAACUCCUUUGUCGAGGUUUCACCGGCAAAAUUGUGUGUGAUAUCCCUCGUCAAACAUAACCUAAUCGUACUGCAGGCCUGUUGAUCAAACUCUUUCCAAUCAUCAUUCGUCCAACCUGUUGGCAACUUUGUCGUUUCAGGUUUCCCCUUUAGGGCUUUGAUCUGCUUCAUACUAACAAGAAUAUCCUUCACAUCUGUUUGCCACGAUGUGAAAUUAUUCUUCCCAUUGAAUUUGAUAAUAUCAAAUCCAUGCACCUUUGUGUACUUACUACUGGAAUUCGAAGAAUUCGAAUCAACCAUCUUCUCUUCAAUAAUCAAUACCACUAAAAAAAUCCAAGAUUGGAUUUUCAACAAACUAAGAAAAAACGGAUCCGUCAACUUCAACGAAGUAUUGAGAACAGAAUACUUCGAACCACGGAACAUACCAUAUACCGUUAGAAAGCCUGAAGAGUCUACUUUCCAACCCAAAAAACGGAUCGAUGUUUCAAUAUCCUAGCACAAAGUUAUGGCCGUUUUACUACAGGGUGUCGAAUCUGGACAGAUUCCUAAAACCCAACAAACCGUUGCGAAAUCCCGUCUUCAACCCAAAGGAAUAACCUUCGGCUCUGAUACCAAAUUUUAUUCUAAAUACACAGGAUCUUGAUAUGAUUAAUGAAGAAACAAACACAAAAGAUGUAAACUAAAACAAAGAUACGGAAACACAAUAAUAUACGUGGUUCAGCAAUAUGUCUACAUCCACGGGACAAAGAGAGAUAGCUUUAUUGAUAAUUGAGAAGUGAACUACACAAUAACUAAUGAAACUUUAGUUUAGGUUUCCUCACACAUACUUUCUUCUUUGCUCCAAUUCUUAUGGUUACACAACACCAAUAUUUAUAACCUCUUUGGUUAAUCCAAUUGGUAACCCAAUUCCUAAUUCAACAACAACUUAGAUUUCUAAUAGAUUAGAAAAUCUUAUUGAAUCCUAGUAGAAUUCCACCACACUUGUUGCCAAAUAAGGAAACCGAUUCCUAAUAGGAAUCCGUUACAUGUAACCUCCACAUGUCACUUUUCUACAAUCCUGACACAAUAUUAUUGAGAUUACAUAUAGACAGAAGGCUGGUACAAGAUGGGAUUACUUCAUAUUAUCAAACAAAAACAUAAAAAAAGCCCAUGCUGAAGACAAUUUGAGUAGGAUUGGAGGCUUAUAGUCAUGGUUAUAUAUUUGAUUUCAAAUUAGUUGCUCUCACAGAUGCUUGUAGCCCUCCUACACAGCGGAAGAUUGCGAGAAAGAGAGACUAAGCUAUAAUAAGAGGGUGUAGCCAAAGUGAAGUCUUUAAUGGAUCAGUUUGGAAUAUAAUUGCUGAGAUUGAUACCUAUGAAUUAAUGAACUAGCUUGGUUCCAUCUUUGUUUGCAUUUUUUUUCCUUAGCAAGUUAGCAUACCAGUGUGAGAGCUUAGCAAAUCUCUUGCCUUCGCUGCAAAUCUCUAACAAACUACAUAUAAUAGUUAGUCCCACCCCAUCUUGUAAAAUAGUUUAAAUCGGUUAUUAUAAAACUUAAUUUUUUUUUUUUUUUGCUUAAGUUGACUCUGCGCAGUUGAUGUUGAUAGUAGUGUCAAGAGAAUGUUUGUCUAUGGAUUUCAUACAUUUUGGGAAUUCUUUCAUUAUUCCUAUGUUAAAAUUAAUGUACGAACUGUAAACAAUUUAAGGACUGUUUAGUAUUUUAAUUUCAAUCAAAUGGCUUGCAGGUUUAACUUUGAAACAAGUUUCGGAAAUUAAACAUACCAAAACAGAAAAGAUGUGCAUUGCACCUUAACAAUUUAUAAAAUGGAUUGAUGAUGCAUCUCUGUUUUUAAAAUUUAAAAUAUCGUCCAUUGAUGGACGAGGAUUGGUAUUUUUCACUUGUGAGCUAAUUUUUCUAACAAGACAUGGUUGUAGGGGUGGCAAUCGUGUCGGGUCGUGUCGGGUUCAGGUCGGGUCUUA
rnacentral:lncRNA from 1 species